rnacentral:rRNA from 1 species
CACGUAGGCACCAAGCGUUGUCCGGAUUUAUUGGGCGUAAAGAGCUCGUAGGCGGUUCAGUAAGUCCGGUGUGAAAUCUUUGGGCUUAACCCAAAGCGUGCACUUGAUACUGCUGUGACUUGAGUUCGGUAGGGGAGUGGGGAAUUCCUAGUGUAGCGGUGAAAUGCGCAGAUAUUAGGAGGAACACCGGUGGCGAAGGCGCCACUCUGGGCCGAAACUGACGCUGAGGAGCGAAAGCGUGGGUAGCAAACAGG